UGUUGUGUGGUUUAAUGGUUUGAGUGUUGGACUAGAAGUCUGGGAGAUCAGGGUUUGAAUCCCUGCUCAGCUA